AUGGCCCCCAAGGCAGACAAGAAGCCGGCCGCCGAGAGCAAGGUCGAGAAGGCGGCGGAGAAGACCCCGGCAGGCAAGAAGCCCAAGGCCGAGAAGCGGGUGCCGGCGGGCAAGACGGCGGCCAAGGAGGGCGCCGGCGGCGAGGGCAAGACUCGGGGCCGGAAGAAGGGCAGCAAGGCCAAGAAGGGCGUGGAGACGUACAAGAUCUACAUCUUCAAGGUGCUGAAGCAGGUGCACCCGGACGUGGGCAUCUCCUCCAAGGCCAUGUCCAUCAUGAACUCCUUCAUCAACGACAUCUUCGAGAAGCUCGCCGGGGAGUCGGCCAAGCUGGCGAGGUACAACAAGAAGCCCACCAUCACCUCCCGGGAGAUCCAGACCUCCGUCCGCCUCGUCCUCCCCGGCGAGCUCGCCAAGCACGCCGUCUCCGAGGGCACCAAGGCCGUCACCAAGUUCACCUCCUCCUAG
rnacentral:rRNA from 1 species